UACGUAGGGUGCAAGCGUUUAAUCGGAAUUACUGGGCGUAAAGCGUGCGCAGGCGGUUGUGCAAGACAGAUGUGAAAUCCCCGGGCUUAACCUGGGAAUUGCAUUUGUGACUGCACGGCUAGAGUGUGUCAGGAGGGGGGUAGAAUUCCACGUGUAGCAGUGAAAUGCGUAGAUAUGUGGAGGAAUACCGGAUGGCGAAGGCAGCCCCCUGGGAUAACACUGACGCUCUGCACGAAAGCGUGGGGGAGCAAACAGG
rnacentral:rRNA from 1 species